UGGAAUCAUUCUGAGUCUUAUGUUCUUUUCUAUCAAUAUUUUCCUCUUCUUUAAAUUGUUUAUACACAAGAUAAACUAUUGCUUUUAGAAGUUUUGUCAACUUAACAAAUCUAUUGGCAGUUUGCUCAUUUGACUGC